GACGAACGCUGGCGGCGUGCCUAAUACAUGCAAGUUGAGCGAUGAAGAUUGGUGCUUGCACCAAUUUGAAGAGCAGCGAACGGGUGAGUAACGCGUGGGGAAUCUGCCUUUGAGCGGGGGACAACAUUUGGAAACGAAUGCUAAUACCGCAUAACAACUUUAAACAUAAGUUUUAAGUUUGAAAGAUGCAAUUGCAUCACUCAAAGAUGAUCCCGCGUUGUAUUAGCUAGUUGGUGAGGUAAAGGCUCACCAAGGCGAUGAUACAUAGCCGACCUGAGAGGGUGAUCGGCCACAUUGGGACUGAGACACGGCCCAAACUACUACGGGAGGCAGCAGUAGGGAAUCUUCGGCAAUGGACGAAAGUCUGGCCGAGCAACGCCGCGUGAGUGAAGAAGGGUUUCGGAUCGUAAAACUCUGUUGGUAGAGAAGAACGUUGGUGAGAGUGGAAAGCUCAUCAAGUGACGGUAACUACACAGAAAGGGACGGCUAACUACGUG
rnacentral:rRNA from 1 species